UACAUUUCAGAAACAUUGAUAAUCAUUGUUUUAGUCUAACAAGUCAUGAAACAAACUUUUGCCAGCAGCCGGUCCGGUAACAUGAUAAAACACCGUAUUGUAUCACGACCACCUGCACAUGGAUGCAUCGGAGCAUGGACCAAGAGCGAGCUCAAUCUUUUAAGAGAACGGUGAGUGCGUCACAUAGAAUUGUAUGCCGUUAUCUUCCAACCGUACAACUUCAGCCACUUACGUUAGCCCAGCCAGUCCAAGAUUCCUAUGAAAAGGCUCGAAGGAGGCUUGUGAAGUUCUGCAAAGGCAAAGGUUUGGAGUCGACACGAGGACAGUGUGCGGAAAAGUACUAUCGUCGAAAUAUGUUGAAUUUGGGCCUACAUCAGCCCCUCCAUCUGCAGUCUCAGGAAGACCUCCAGUGCAGGCCUCAACAAGCAGGCUCCACACAGGUAAACAGCACAGAUGAAAACAUACAGUGGUAUAGCGUGUACUGAUUCUGUUUCUUACUGUUCCAUAUGCAGAGACAAUGGAAAGACCCAAAAACUGAUUCUGCAGUAAUGGAGCAAAAUGCCAGACCUGGCCAGCCAUACCACCAUUUCCAUUAUGAACACCUGCAGUGACAGUUCCAGAUCUGACAGUACUAACACUACAUAGGAUUCUGAUGUAUCAGAUGAUGGGGUUGUCCCCCAAAAGAUGUUCGAGAACAUCAAAAGGGCGUACCAGGAAUUAAAAAACAAAAACAAAAAAAUAUCCGCUGAAAAUGAAGACCUCAAACAAAGAUACAAAGAUUUGGAAAUGCAAAACACAAAAACAACAAAAGAAAGGGAUGGUUUCCGUGCAGCCAUAGAGGCAAUUAACAGGAACACUGCACGAGUGUUGGGAGGUCAUCCUAUAGCCCAAUCAGAGUCGCAAAUCAUGGCUGAUGCAGUCUGCCCAGGACCACCUCCCUGCUCUGAUGGCAAGAUCCAUAUUGGGGCAGGGGUAGAACGAUUCAGGCUUUUGCAAAGACCUGGCCGUGGCUGUGUGGGGAUCUGAGGUCCUGCGGACCAAAUCGACUGAGGGGAGGGUAUGCAACCGUCUUAAAAGCACAGGUGUCACUGCAAAACCUCCUCUCACUCCUGAUAAAUAUCAGGCAGUAAAGGACACCUUCAAGGGAUGGCUAAAGAACAACGGCGCAGGAGAAGCUGAGGUGGCUGUACGCCACAAGAAAAUCUCAGAAAAAAUCAUGGACCUUAACCAAAAAAAAUA